CAUAUAGGAAUACGUAUUUCCCAUCUGCAUCGAAUCCGAAUCGCUUGAAAAGAACUACAGAAGGUUUUUGAUGGAUCGAACGAGUUCACUGAAUCGAAUGCGUCGUCAGGGACUUGGGUACAAUGUAAUUAAAGCUUACCCCAAAAAAAGACAAUCGGCAACCGGUAAGAGAACGCGUGAGAGUGGCAGCGAGCGCCUAAUAACUAUGCGAAGAGGUCGGACCACAACUGGGAUCUGCACUGGCCAAGAGCAGUGCAAUUAUCUCGCCAGACCCAGAUCCAAACCAAAAUCUAGCAAGCAAAGGCAAACAACCGAAUUGAACAAAUAACGAGAUAAUUAAUUAAUGCAUAAUAACACAAGUUAAUUAGAUUUCGGGGCGGCAGCCAAUUGAGCAAACAAUCGAAGCGCACUGGAAACGGUAACAAAUAAAAAAACUAUAAAGAAAA